UAUUAAAAAAUGUAAAUACCGUAUCCCUUUCAAAUCGUAUAAGAAUGUCACAAGCGACUCCUUGGACUUUACGCACUGUCGCGUUCAACGUUCAACCAAUAACAUUUGUGGUAGGGAGAAUUGAGGAAAGUUCAAAUAUAACGUAGUAAUCUCAACCUAACCUUCAGUACUUCCAACGACGACGUCGUAAACGUAACUGGUUGUUGCAGAAAAUGAAAGGAAAAUAUACUUUGCGACCUACUGAAGUUGUUGCAAAACUCGAAUGGAAUUAAGGGUAGCAGCACCACCAUGGAGAAUUCGAAGACUCAAUUUUCCUGACAUUUCUGCGGUGGUUGCAGUCGCGCUUCUCAAUUCUUUCUUUGCAGCUCUACCAAAUUCUUUUUCGACCUUCAAUAUAAGAGGG